UACGAGAGGCGCAAACGUUAUUCGGAAUUACUGGGCUUAAAGAGUUCGUAGGCGGCGCAGAAAGUAGGGUGUGAAAGCCCUCGGCUCAACCGAGGAAUUGCGCUCUAAACUACUGUGCUUGAGGAACCUAGAGGUGAGCAGAACUGAUGGUGGAGCGGUGAAAUGCGUUGAUAUCAUCAGGAAUACCGGAGGCGAAGGCGGCUCACUGGGGGUUUUCUGACGCUGAGGAACGAAAGCCAGGGGAGCGAACGGG
rnacentral:rRNA from 1 species